rnacentral:rRNA from 1 species
ACCGCCCUCUUUCUUCAUGCCUAACACAUGCAAGUCGAACGAGACCUUCGGGUCUAGUGGCGCACGGGUGCGUAACGCGUGGGAACCUGCCCUUAGGUUCGGAAUAACUCCCCGAAAGGGGUGCUAAUACCGGAUAAUGUCUUCGGACCAAAGAUUUAUCGCCUUUGGAUGGGCCCGCGUUGGAUUAGCUAGUUGGUAGGGUAAAAGCCUACCAAGGCGACGAUCCAUAGCUGGUCUGAGAGGAUGAUCAGCCACACUGGGACUGAGACACGGCCCAGACUCCUACGGGAGGCAGCAGUGGGGAAUAUUGGACAAUGGGCGAAAGCCUGAUCCAGCAAUGCCGCGUGAGUGAUGAAGGCCUUAGGGUUGUAAAGCUCUUUUACCCGGGAUGAUAAUGACAGUACCGGGAGAAUAAGCUCCGGCUAACUCCGUG